UUAAGUCUCCUGAAGGAACGUUGAAGACGACGACGUUGAUAGGUCGGGUGUGUAAGCGCAGCGAUGCGUUGAGCUAACCGAUACUAAUGAACCGUGAGGCUUAACCUU
rnacentral:rRNA from 5 species